CUUAUCUUCGAAACAUGCCCCCCUCUCGGUGGAUCACUAACCUUGUCAUAGUCGGGGGCUUGCGUAUGUCAUUGACCCCAAGGAGCUAUGCCAGUUGGUGCUUCGUCAGUAAAAAAUCUUUUCCAUUAUAAACUUUGACCGCCGUAACUGUCAUGUUUCUGCCAAAUCGCCAUCCUUUACUACAUCUGAAAUUAUCAAGUCCGAGUUAUCCUGAACUUAUCCAGCAGCGUUGUAAUCCACACCAUUACGAAAAAUCACAACGUAGCUAACAGAAAUUUUCAAUGUGGUUGUCUGUGUUCCUUCCUUUCUUUCUUUCUUUCUUUUUUGGGUCUAAUGACAAGUAGCUUACAAGUUUAAGUACUGUAAUCACUAGCCAAACAAGAGGUUGUGAAUUUGAACCAUGUCCAUGCAUUGGCACUCAACUUAAAAGUGGCAUUUAAUCACCCAAAAUUAAUCAAUCCUGAAAAUCUAAUUAAAUAAUUA
rnacentral:lncRNA from 1 species